UUUCACACCAAAAAGAACCAAGAGCCAGUUCCGGGCUGGUGCUAGGGCCAGUUCCAAACAGGUUCCAGCCUUAUCCUAGUUAAGAACCAGUUGGUUUCACACCGGCCAGAGCCAGCCAUGGAGCCGGCGUGAGCAACGUCAUGACGUCACUGCAAACGUCUCCGCUUUCCCAGACGUCACUGGCAGAGAGUAGUGAGCUUGGACAGAAGCAUACUGCCGACAUCUUUCUUUAUUCUUGGUGGAAAUAGUAACAUAGUUACGCCAUUAAAUGCGUUUAUGGAAACAUUUUUAGCGAGAAAUGUGCAUUUUACUUUCAUAAUGUUCGCUCGGUGAAUGUGAAGGAUGUUUGGUUUGAUAGUUAUGACGAAGAGGGAACGCUCCGUUCACUUGCAUGGACAUGGACUCAUCUAGCUGCGUUGGCGCGUUGACGCGUUGAACCACCACACAAUGAUCAAGCGUCAGAACCCUCGCGCCAGUUUCAAACACAACAACAACAAUUUCGUCUUCGAUUCAAUCCG